GUUUUCAACUGGAGGGAAGGACUGGGGAAAAUAAGAAGCGACGCGCUAGCCAGAGAAGAGGAGUUCCUACACCACCACCACCGACAGUACUAGCACCAGCUCCAGCACCAGCACCAGCAGUCACAGUCGCCGCAGUCCGCCCCGCAGAAGCCAGCACCGAGACACCGCCGCCGCCUAGCAGUUGGGAAGCCUGCCCGUCCUCCGUUUUUAUUGAAUUCACCGUCGCUCCGAAACCGCCCGCAAGAUUUGCUCCAACCCGGUGACGAGACUCUCCGCAUCGGAGCCAAUUUAAGCGCUAGGUGUCUCAACUAGCCACCUACACAUCGCCUUGCCUUCCGCCCAGAUUUAACUUGUAAAUAGUUUUGGGAAAACACGACCUGCUCUUUAUUUUAUAACUACA